UUCCGGUUGAUCCUGCCAGAGGCUACUGCUAUCGGGGUUCGAUUAAGCCAUGCGAGUUAAAUGUUCUUCGUGAACAUAGCGAACUGCUCAGUAACACGUGGAUAACCUACCCUUAGGACCGGAAUAACCCCGGGAAACUGGGGAUAAUACCGGAUAAGCCAUAGACGCUGGAAUGCCCUAUGGUUCAAAGCUCCGGCGCCUAAGGAUGGAUCUGCGGUCUAUCAGGUUGUAGUGGGUGUAACGUACCUACUAGCCGACGACGGAUACGGGUUGUGAGAGCAAGAGCCCGGAGAUGGAUUCUGAGACACGAAUCCAGGCCCUACGGGGUGCAGCAGGCGCGAACACUUUACAAUGCGGGAAACCGCGAUAAGGGAACCCCGAGUGCCAGCAUCAAAUGUUGGCUGUCCAGAUGAUUAAAAAUCAUUUGUUAGCAAGGGCCGGGCAAGACCGGUGCCAGCCGCCGCGGUAACACCGGCGGCCCGAGUGGUAGCCGUUUUUAUUGGGUCUAAAGGGUCCGUAGCCGGCCUGAUAAGUCCUUUGGGAAAUCUGGCAACUUAACUGUCAGGCUUCUAAGGGAUACUGUCAGGCUUGGGACCGGAAGAGGUAAGGGGUACUCCAGGGGUAGGAGUGAAAUCUUGUAAUCCCUGGGGGACCAUCUGUGGCGAAGGCGCCUUACCAGAACGGGUCCGACGGUGAGGGACGAAAGCUAGGGGAGCAAACCGGAUUAGAUACCCGGGUAGUCCUAGCUGUAAACGAUGCUCGCUAGGUGUCAGACACGGUGCGACCGUGUUUGGUGCCGCAGGGAAGCCGUUAAGCGAGCCACCUGGGAAGUACGGUCGCAAGGCUGAAACUUAAAGGAAUUGGCGGGGGAGCACUACAACGGGUGGAGCCUGCGGUUUAAUUGGAUUCAACGCCGGG
rnacentral:rRNA from 1 species